rnacentral:rRNA from 1 species
UACAGAGGGUGCGAGCGUUAAUCGGAAUUACUGGGCGUAAAGCGCACGUAGGUGGCGACGUAAGUCGGGUGUGAAAGCCCCGGGCUCAACCUGGGAAUUGCAUUCGAGACUGCAUUGCUGGAGUACGGAAGAGGAGGGCGGAAUUCCCGGUGUAGCGGUGAAAUGCGUAGAUAUCAGGAGGAACACCAAUUGCGAAGGCAGCUCGCUGGGACGUUACUGACGCUGAGACGCGAAAGCGUGGGGAGCAAACAGG